rnacentral:rRNA from 1 species
UACGAAGGGGGGCUAGCGUUGCUCGGAAUCACUGGGCGUAAAGCGCACGUAGGCGGAUUGUUAAGUCAGGGGUGAAAUCCUGGAGCUCAACUCCAGAACUGCCUUUGAUACUGGCGAUCUUGAGUCCGGGAGAGGUGAGUGGAACUGCGAGUGUAGAGGUGAAAUUCGUAGAUAUUCGCAAGAACACCAGUGGCGAAGGCGGCUCACUGGCCCGGUACUGACGCUGAGGUGCGAAAGCGUGGGGAGCGAACAGG